UACUAGAGUAGCACUCGCAUAUCAAUAAGCGGAGGAAAAGAAACUAACAAGGAUUCCCCUAGUAACGGCGAGUGAAGCGGGAAGAGCUCAAAUUUGAAAUCUUAAAGGGUUUCCCUUUACGAAUUGUAGUUUAAAGAAGUGUUUUCUGUUGAGGUUUUGGUAAAAGUUCUUUGGAAUAGGACAUCAUAGAGGGUGAGAAUCCCGUAUUUGACCUUUACUUUCAACUUUGUGAUACACUUUCAAAGAGUCGGAUUGUUUGGGAAUGCAGUCCAAAAUGGGUGGUAAAUUUCAUCUAAAGCUAAAUAUUGGCGAGAGACCGAUAGCGAACAAGUACCGUGAGGGAAAGAUGAAAAGAACUUUGAAAAGAGAGUUAAACAGUACGUGAAAUUGUCAAAAGGGAAGCGUUUGACACCAGUGUUGUUUUUCUGAAAAUCAAUUAAAGAACUGUUUAUGCUAAGUUGUUUAGACUUUAUCAGCUAACUGUUUAGUUUUGAGCUUUUCUUUAAUGCACUUUUCAGUUAACAAGUCAACAUCAAUUUCUUUUGCUGUAAAAAAGCUUGAGGAAGGUGGCUUGAGAUUCGUCUUAAGUGUUUAUAGCCUCUUGCCUAUGCAGUCGGAGAGAUUGAGGUCUGCAGCGUAGAUCCUUCGGGGCUAAAUGCAUUUGUGCUAAGUUAUAGCAUUUUAUAGACAACUUGUUGACUAUGAUUCGUCUUGUAGCUUACUCGCUUAUGUUAUUUUACCUACGCUUAGGAUGUUGAGUCAUCACACAUCUCU
rnacentral:rRNA from 1 species